rnacentral:rRNA from 1 species
CCUACGGGUGGCAGCAGUGAGGAAUAUUGGUCAAUGGGCGGAAGCCUGACCCAGCAACGCAGCGUGCAGGAUGAAGGCCUUACGGUUUGUAAACUGUUUUUAUACGGGAGUACCGCGCCUUACGUGUCUGGAUUUGCACGUACCGUAUGAAGAACGACCGGCCACUUCCGUGCCAGCAGCCGCGGUAAUACGGAAGGUCCGGGCGUUAUACGGAUUUAUUGGGUUUAAAGGGAGCGUAGGCCGAACGUCAAGCGUGCUGUGAAAUGUCCGGGCUCAACCCGGGCAUUGCAGCGCGAACUGGCGUGCUUGAGUCCGCGGAAGGCAGGCGGAAUUCGUCGUGUAGCGGUGAAAUGCUUAGAUAUGACGAAGAACCCCGAUUGCGAAGGCAGCUUGCUGCAGCGGAACUGACGCUGAGGCUCGAAAGCGCGGGGAUCGAACAGGAUUAGAUACCCCAGUAGUC